UUGAUCCUGGCUCAGAACGAACGCUGGCGGCAGGCCUAACACAUGCAAGUCGAGCGCGCCCUUCGGGGUGAGCGGCGGACGGGUGAGUAACACGUGGGAACAUACCCUUUUCUACGGAAUAGCCUCGGGAAACUGAGAGUAAUACCGUAUACGCCCUUCGGGGGAAAGAUUUAUCGGAGAAGGAUCGGCCCGCGUUGGAUUAGGUAGUUGGUGGGGUAAUGGCCUACCAAGCCGACGAUCCAUAGCUGGUUUGAGAGGAUGAUCAGCCACACUGGGACUGAGACACGGCCCAGACUCCUACGGGAGGCAGCAGUGGGGAAUCUUAGACAAUGGGGGCAACCCUGAUCUAGCCAUGCCGCGUGAGUGAUGAAGGCCUUAGGGUUGUAAAGCUCUUUCAGCUGGGAAGAUAAUGACGGUACCAGCAGAAGAAGCCCCGGCUAACUCCGUGCCAGCAGCCGCGGUAAU
rnacentral:rRNA from 1 species